rnacentral:rRNA from 1 species
UACGUAGGGGGCAAGCGUUGUCCGGAUUUAUUGGGCGUAAAGAGCGUGUAGGCGGCCAGGUAGGUCAGCUGUGAAAACUCGAGGCUCAACCUCGAGACGUCGGUUGAAACCACCUGGCUAGAGUCCGGAAGAGGAGAGUGGAACUCCUGGUGUAGCGGUGGAAUGCGCAGAUAUCAGGAAGAACACCAACGGCGAAGGCAGCUCGCUGGGACGGUACUGACGCUGAGACGCGAAAGCGUGGGGAGCGAACAGG